UACGUAGGGACCAAGCGUUGUUCGGAUUUACUGGGCGUAAAGGGCGCGUAGGCGGCGUGGUAAGUCACUUGUGAAAUCUCUGAGCUUAACUCAGAACGGCCAAGUGAUACUGCUGUGCUGGAGUGCAGAAGGGGCAAUCGGAAUUCUUGGUGUAGCGGUGAAAUGCGUAGAUAUCAAGAGGAACACCUGAGGUGAAGACGGGUUGCUGGGCUGACACUGACGCUGAUGCGCGAAAGCUAGGGGAGCAAACGGG
rnacentral:rRNA from 1 species